rnacentral:rRNA from 1 species
CCUACGGGAGGCUGCAGUGGGGAAUAUUGGACAAUGGGCGAAAGCCUGAUCCAGCCAUGCCGCGUGUGUGAAGAAGGCCUUCGGGUUGUAAAGCACUUUCAGUGGGGAAGAAAGCCUUGGGGCUAAUACCCUCGAGGAAGGACAUCACCCACAGAAGAAGCACCGGCUAACUCCGUGCCAGCAGCCGCGGUAAUACGGAGGGUGCGAGCGUUAAUCGGAAUUACUGGGCGUAAAGCGCGCGUAGGCGGUCUGAUAAGCCGGUUGUGAAAGCCCCGGGCUCAACCUGGGAACGGCAUCCGGAACUGUCAGGCUAGAGUACGGGAGAGGAAGGUAGAAUUCCAGGUGUAGCGGUGAAAUGCGUAGAGAUCGGGAGGAAUACCGGUGGCGAAGGCGGCCUUCUGGACUGACACUGACGCUGAGGUGCGAAAGCGUGGGUAGCAAACAGGAUUAGAUACCCGAGUAGUC